CUUACAGAUAUACAUUAAAUUCUCUUCUGUAUCCUAUCUUCCCAAUUUCUCACCUACAACUAACCCCCACAGUUUCCGCAAACGCAGACCCCUUUACAUUGUUUAGGGUUAGGUCUGUUCAAUAAAAAAUUAAAUGACCCGAAAAAACCGAUCUGAGUGCAGCCCUGACACCAGGCCAUCUAAAAAUUCCCUCUUUUGGACCGGCUACUCCGACCCUGUGUAUAGUUUAAGAUUCGACAUAUUUAUUUCAACGAUCUAUUCGUCACUAUUAUUUACUUCAAAAUACAUUCUCUCACACAGAAAAUUUCCGGGCACGUCAGUGAUGCCGUUUAAAUUUGUUUUAUUAUGCAAGCUAUAUGGAUGCAAAUCUGUUG